ACAUGCACACACAGCGAUAAAUAUACACAAACGGUGAGUGAUGCCUUCUCUGCACUUUUGUGUGUUUUCCUCUCGGCAGCUCUCCGCGAAACCGGUUCUGCUCAGUCUUCUGCACAUGCAAGAUCCCAGCCAUGAACUGAACAGCAGCAGUGAGCAGUGAGCAGGCAGACUUGUUCACCACUUUCCCUUCCUCGCUCGCAAUGCACUCUCCCUUUGUCCGUAAGACCUUGUUCUCUGCAAAGUCCACAGUGUGAGCGAGCUGAAGUUGGGACAAUUUGUCUCUUGCCGAAGAUCGCUGGAUGGUCCGAACUACCGAUGAAUUGUGUCUAGAAGAAGAGUGGAGAGAAAGAGAUGCAGAGCUGCAAGCCGAGAGACGAACUCAAGAGUUGGGAAACGAACGCGGGAAAAGCGCACCUCAUCUCCUCUGAGGGAACACCUGGGACAUGCUCGCAGAGAAAACAACUAAAGGGAUGCAAGACGCAGAGGAGGCUGUGUGGAUGCUGCUCGCUGUUAUUCAGGUAAGAGUGGAGUAAUACAAUCAAUACUAUUGUCUGUAACCUACCUGCUGCUGGGCUCUCUGUCUGGCCCCAUCAGAGACGCACAGAGGCUGAGAGAUGAGCUGCACAACUGCACUCCCACUGAAUGAGAAGAGCAGAGGAGCAAGGCUCUUAC